rnacentral:rRNA from 1 species
CGCGUAGGCGGAUAGUUUAGUCAGAGGUGAAAGCCCAGGGCUCAACCUUGGAAUUGCCUUUGAUACUGGCUGUCUUGAGUUCGGGAGAGGUGAGUGGAAUGCCGAGUGUAGAGGUGAAAUUCGUAGAUAUUCGGCGGAACACCAGUGGCGAAGGCGACUCACUGGCCCGAUACUGACGCUGAGGCGCGAAAGCGUGGGAGCAAACA